UUGGCCAUAAAUCUGACCAUCUCCUCAUCUUUUUUGCGGUCUGAAAUAGUAAUCUUCUCAACGAACUGGUUCUUAAUUCCUCUGGCCUCAUCCUUAGUCUUCCUAGCCACCUCCACUGAUACAGAAUUCCUGUUCUCCGUAGGCAGGUGACUGUUCUGGCCAAGCUUUUCUGCCUGGUAACCUCCAAAUUGGCUUCCUCUGGCCUCAUCCUUGGUCUUCCGAGCCACCUCCACCAAUAUAGGAUUCCUGCUCUCUGCAGGCAGGUGACUGUUCUGACCACGCUUUUCAGCCUGGUAACCUCCAACUUGGCUUCCUCUGGCCUCAUCCUUAGUCUUCUUAGCCACCUCCACCGAUACAGAAUUCCUGUUCUCCGCAGGCAGGUGACUGUUCUGACCAAACUUUUCUGCCUUGUAACCUCCAACAUGGCUAGCAUCUCUCUUGUCUCUAUCAUCUUUAUGAAUGAUUUUCUCUGUAACAUGAUUCUCAAUUUUUCCUGGAAGCCUAGUUCCAUCUGAAGUACCAGGUUUAU
rnacentral:lncRNA from 1 species